rnacentral:SRP_RNA from 1 species
UGUUAGCCUCUAACACUGUAAAAUUGAACACUUGGUCAGAUCUGGAAAGAAGCAGCCAAUUCAGCUAAUACAGGUGUUAUGAUAUAGCUAACAGAU